AACGAACGCUGGCGGCAUGCCUAACACAUGCAAGUAGAACGAUACGUUCGGGUCUAGUUGCGCACGGGAGCGUAACGCGAGGGAACCUGCCCUGCUGUUCGGAAUACCUCCCCGAAAGGUGUGCUAAUACCGGAUAAUGUCUUCGGACCAAAGAUUCUCUGCCUUUGGUUGGGCCCGCGUUGGAUUAGCUAGUUGGGAGGGUAAAAGCCUACCAAGGCGACGAUCCAUAGCUGGUCUGGGAGGCUGAUCAGCCACACUGGGACUGAGACACGGCCCAGACUCCUACGGGAGGCAGCAGUGGGGAAUAUUGGACAAUGGGCGAAAGCCUGAUCCAGCAAUGCCGCGUGAGUGAUGAAGGCCUUAGGGUUGUAAAGCUCUUUUACCCGGGAUGCUAAUGACAGUACCGGGAGAAUAAGCUCCGGCUAACUCCGUG
rnacentral:rRNA from 1 species